ACUGGAGGUGAGGAACUUCAUCUAAUCUGUUUGGUACAGAUGCUUCUCAAAUGAAUUCAGCAAGUGUGGCACAGCAGUUCAGCAUUCAGUCUUCAGAAUAACAUACCAGGAGUUUUGCAAUUGGCUUGGCGUUUUCCAAUGCUAUAAGAAAGCUCUUAUGAGUGAUGAUCUUGUGAGAAACUGCUUCAUCUUGAGCUGUUUGUUUAAAGAACGUAGGGAAGACAAUGAAGUUGACACAUCACCCCCAUCCUGUCUUCCUAUGUUGAUGGAGAGAACUGAAAAGAAGGGAUAGCUGUAUUUGUUGGAAUAAACCUACUUCAUUCAGUACGGUGGUUCUGCUCCAAUGGGAUUUUGUAACUGCAUCUGCAGAUGAACUCAGUAUUCUCUACCAGCAAAUACUAGACAAUGAGAGCACAUUUUUGUUACCUUCCAUACUUUAUUUUUAUAAACGUGAAGAGAGCUAGUUCCUGAAAAAGUGGGGCUGCUCAACAUAGGAGGCAUUCUCUCUGAAUGAGAUACCCACCAGAACCUGGAAACAAACUUAUGCGCGUGUGUGCACGCGCACACACACACACACACACCUAAGGAGUGAUGUGAAGUAGCAGCUAUUUGGAGCAGGGAAAAGAACCAAUAUGGAAUUUCCUGAAAGCUCCUAAGAGGCACAUAGCCUCUUCAUGGACCUGAUGUGGGAUAUGAAAAUUGCUGCCUUGUAGGAACAGCUGUUCCUUCCCCCUUGUGUUGUGCCUAGCUGUUACUUGUGUGCGUGCACCUUCAAGUCAGUUUUUGACUCUUUGCGACUGCGUGGACUAGUCCCUGCAGUUUUCUUGGCAAGGUUUUUC